CACACCCUUCCCUACAGAAGCCCUGACAGCACAGCCCCUCACCAUGGACUGGAGCUGGAGAGCCCUCUUCCUGGUGGCAGCAGCUACUGGUGUCCACUCUCAAGUGCAGCUGGAGCAGUCUGGUGCUGAGGUGAGGAAGCCUGGGGCCUCAGUGAAGGUCUCCUGCAAGACUUCUGGAUACACCUUCACCAGCUACACUAUUGACUGGGUGCAGCAGGCACCAGGACAAGGGCUUCAGUGGAUGGGGUAUGUUAACCCUAACAACGGUGGCACUGGAUAUGCACAGAAGUUCCAAGGUAGAGUCUCCAUGACUGCAGACAAGUCCACCAGCACAGCCUACAUGGAGAUGAGACUAAGAGCUCAUCUUAAGCCUAAGAGCUGUCCUCAGCCUAAGAGCUGA